rnacentral:rRNA from 2 species
GUCGUAACAAGGUAACCGUAGGGGAACCUGCGGUUGGAUCACCUCCUUACCUAAAAUGAAGC